rnacentral:rRNA from 1 species
AGUGAACGCUGGCGGUAGGCCUAACACAUGCAAGUCGAACGGCAGCACAGUAAGAGCUUGCUCUUACGGGUGGCGAGUGGCGGACGGGUGAGGAAUACAUCGGAAUCUACUUUUUCGUGGGGGAUAACGUAGGGAAACUUACGCUAAUACCGCAUACGACCUACGGGUGAAAGCAGUGGAUCUUCGGACCUUGCGCGAUUGAAUGAGCCGAUGUCGGAUUAGCUAGUUGGCGGGGUAAAGGCCCACCAAGGCGACGAUCCGUAGCUGGUCUGAGAGGAUGAUCAGCCACACUGGAACUGAGACACGGUCCAGACUCCUACGGGAGGCGGCAGUGGGGAAUAUUGGACAAUGGGCGCAAGCCUGAUCCAGCCAUACCGCGUGGGUGAAGAAGGCCUUCGGGUUGUAAAGCCCUUUUGUUGGGAAAGAAAAGCAGCAGGUUAAUACCCCGCUGUUCUGACGGUACCCAAAGAAUAAGCACCGGCUAACUUCGUG